AAAAAUAAAAUGCAUAGCUUUUAAAAUACAUUGUUAAAUGAAAUAGAGAUCAGUCUUUGUAUAAAAAGAAGUUUUAACUUGGUAUAAUAUAAUUUUCUUGGUUAAAGAACUAAGUAGAGUAUAAUUUAUAAACAAGAUAUCAAUCUUCAAGUUGCUCAAAAAAGAAUCUAAUACUAUUAUAUAAUUUGAGAUAAUUGAAUCCUGGUCCAUUUUUUUUUUUUUUUUGAAUAGACAAAGGAGGAAAGAUAUAUAUUACUCUUUGGAAAAAGGUAUAAACAACAUUAAAUCUUGGAAAAUAAAACUCCUAAUUGUGUAGGAAUCAGUCUCUCUAUAAAAGAAGUUUCAACUUGGUGCAAUAUAUUAUAUAUCUUUUGUUAAAGAACUUGGUAUAAUCAAAUUUCAGGCACGACAAUCUUCGUCCAGAUCGAAUCCAAAUCUAUGCUUUAACAAAAUAUAAAUCUA
rnacentral:lncRNA from 1 species